rnacentral:rRNA from 1 species
ACGGUACCUACAGAAGAAGCACCGGCCAACUACGUGCCAGCAGCCGCGGUAAUACGUAGGGUGCGAGCGUUGUCCGGAAUUAUUGGGCGUAAAGGGCUCGUAGGCGGUUUGUCACGUCGGGAGUGAAAUCUCAGGGCUUAACCCUGAGCCUGCUUCCGAUACGGGCAGACUAGAGGUAUGCAGGGGAGAACGGAAUUCCUGGUGUAGCGGUGAAAUGCGCAGAUAUCAGGAGGAACACCGGUGGCGAAGGCGGUUCUCUGGGCAUUACCUGACGCUGAGGAGCGAAAGUGUGGGGAGCGAACAGGAUUAGAUACCCUGGUAGUCCACGCCGUAAACGGUGGGCGCUAGGUGUGGGACUCAUUCCACGAGUUCCGUGCCGCAGCUAAUGCAUUAAGCGCCCCGCCUGGGGAGUACGGCCGCAAGGCUAAAACUCAAAGGAAUUGACGGGGGCCCGCACAAGCGGCGGAGCAUGCGGAUUAAUUCGAUGCAACGCGAAGAACCUUACCUAGGUUUGACAUAUACCGGAAAGCUCUAGAGAUAGAGCCCCUUUUGUC